rnacentral:ncRNA from 3 species
UUCCGUAGGUGAACCUGCGGAA